rnacentral:rRNA from 1 species
GAUGAACGCUGGCGGCGUGCCUAAUACAUGCAAGUCGAGCGAACGGACGAGAAGCUUGCUUUUCUGAUGUUAGCGGCGGACGGGUGAGUAACACGUGGAUAACCUACCUAUAAGACUGGGAUAAAUUCGGGAAACCGGAGCUAAUACUGGAUAAUAUUUUGAACCGCAUGGUUCAAAAGUGAAAGACGGUCUUGCUGUCACUUAUAGAUGGAUCCGCGCUGCAUUAGCUAGUUGGUAAGGUAACGGCUUACCAAGGCAACGAUGCAUAGCCGACCUGAGAGGGUGAUCGGCCACACUGGAACUGAGACACGGUCCAGACUCCUACGGGAGGCAGCAGUAGGGAAUCUUCCGCAAUGGGCGAAAGCCUGACGGAGCAACGCCGCGUGAGUGAUGAAGGUCUUCGGAUCGUAAAACUCUGUUAUUAGGGAAGAACAUAUGUGUAAGUAACUGUGCACAUCUUGACGGUACCUAAUCAGAAAGCCACGGCUAACUACGUG